rnacentral:tRNA from 1 species
GGGGAUUUAGCUCAGCAGCAUAAGCGCCUGUCUUGCAAGCAGGCGGUUGUGAGUUCAAUCCCCG